AUUGAACGCUGGCGGCAGGCCUAACACAUGCAAGUCGAACGAGUGGCGGACGGGUGAGUAAUGUCUGGGAAACUGCCCGAUGGAGGGGGAUCACUACUGGAAACGGUAGCUAAUACCGCAUACCAUCGGAGGAGCCCAGAUGGGAUUAGCUAGUAGGUGGGGUAACGGCUCACCUAGGCGACGAUCCCUAGCUGGUCUGAGAGGAUGAACGGCAACACUGGAACUGCGACACGGUCCAGACUCCUACGGGAGGCAGCAGGGGGGAAUUUUGGACAAUGGGCGAAAGCCUGAGGCAGCCAGGCCGCGUGUAUGAAGAAGGCCUCCGGGUGGUAAAGUACUUUCAGCGGGGAGGCGUUACUCGCAGAAGAAGCACCGGCUAACUCCGUGCCAGCAGCCGCGGUAAUUC
rnacentral:rRNA from 1 species